UGGGGGAUAUUGCACAAUGGGGGGAACCCUGAUGCAGCGACGCCGCGUGGGUGAAGAAGCGCCCCGGCGCGUAAAGCCCUGUCAGCAGGGAAGAAGAAGGACGGUACCUGACCAAGAAGCCCCGGCUAACUACGUGCCAGCAGCCGCGGUAAUACGUAGGGGGCAAGCGUUAUCCGGAUUUACUGGGUGUAAAGGGGGCGCAGACGGCGAUGCAAGCCAGGAGUGAAAGCCCGGGGCCCAACCCCGGGACUGCUCUUGGAACUGCGUGGCUGGAGUGCAGGAGGGGCAGGCGGAAUUCCUGGUGUAGCGGUGAAAUGCGUAGAUAUCAGGAGGAACACCGGUGGCGAAGGCGGCCUGCUGGACUGCAACUGACGUUGAGGCCCGAAAGCGUGGGGAGCAAACA
rnacentral:rRNA from 1 species